rnacentral:tRNA from 1 species
CAGGGGCUGGGCAGCGGCGCCAUCGGGCUUGCCGGGUCCGAGCAACUCAAGGCCGAGAUCCUGCCCCGGGUCGCCGAC